UACAGAGGUCUCAAGCGUUGUUCGGAUUCAUUGGGCGUAAAGGGUGCGUAGGUGGCGCCGUAAGUCGGGUGUGAAAUCUCGGAGCUUAACUCCGAAACUGCAUUCGAUACUGCGGUGCUUGAGGACUGGAGAGGAGACUGGAAUUCAUGGUGUAGCAGUGAAAUGCGUAGAGAUCAUGAGGAAGACCAGUGGCGAAGGCGGGUCUCUGGACAGUUCCUGACACUGAGGCACGAAGGCCAGGGGAGCAAACGGG
rnacentral:rRNA from 1 species